AAAUUAUGACUUGCCAUACAUAGUAAAGUCAUUAACUAUGAUUUAUAAAGUUUUACUUCCUUCCGCAUAACAUUAUAAACAAUUUUUUUGGUACAAUAGAAGGCAAAGUCAAAAAAAAAAAAACUAACAUUCUUAGGUAUUCAACCUCGCAGAUGCAUCAUCGAAUAUGAUGAGGUCGAUGUUGGGUGCGAUCAUGAUUACAUUUAGAUAACCUAAGUAGAGUGGUCCGCUGGUCUAGUGAACUCUUUCUCAAAAGUAGAUUUGAAAUAACAUAAUUCUAAUCACUGAGCAAUUUACUUCGUAUUUUACCGUGCAAGGAGGGUUUCAUGAAUCCAACUUAGAGUCUCACAUCAGACGUCAAGAACCUGGUGUAAUAAGGUCUUCCAUAUGAUUAAAGAAUCCUUCCCAUUGAGUCAUAUAGUUUUAUAGUGGAGUUAGGUUAGUUUGGUUUGAUCACUGAGUGUCAAGACUGAAUGAGGAGAGUGAACCCUAUUAAAAAAAGGUAAGAUUUGUUACCAGUUUCCAUGCGCUAAUAGUGCUUCAUGAUUUCAACUUUAGGAUGUCGUGAGGGGAUUACAUAGGAUAGGACAAUCCUUCCCUUUUGAGUCAUGGUUUUUGAGGUGGAGUUAGUUUCAAUCAAUGUUAAUUGAUAUCAAAUUCAUGAACAGGAAGAAUUCACCCUAUAAAUAAUGAACUGUCAGGGCUUAUAUUUGAUUGGACGAUCCACCCCAUUGUGCCAUAGUUUUGAUUUGGAGUUACGUUCAACUUGUAUCAGUAGGAUUUAUCAGUGUACCACAACAAUAGCCUAUAUUUCAAGGCUAAAGGACUAACAGUGUGUUUGGAUGAGGUAAUUUGAAAAUUUUAAAGAAUUUAAAAUUUUAGGUAAUUUACCUCAAAGUAUUUGAAUUCCUUCAUAACAUUAUAUUUCCUUAAUAUUACAUUACAUCCCCAUAUCCAAACAAUGGAAUUCACCUUAAAGUAUUUGAAUUCCCUCAAAACAUUACAUUUCCUCAAAACAUUUCUCCAUCCAAACACACUCUAAAGGUAUGUCAACCACUCGUAAUUUCCACAAAUAGCGUUAAUAUGUUGACCUCAAAUCCGAUCC
rnacentral:lncRNA from 1 species